CCCUACGGGGGGCAGCAGUAGGGAAUAUUGCUCAAUGGGGGAAACCCUGAAGCAGCAACGCCGCGUGGAGGAUGAAGGUUUUAGGAUUGUAAACUCCUUUUGUUAGAGAAGAUUAUGACGGUAUCUAACGAAUAAGCACCGGCUAACUCCGUGCCAGCAGCCGCGGUAAUACGGAGGGUGCAAGCGUUACUCGGAAUCACUGGGCGUAAAGAGUGCGUAGGCGGGGUAAUAAGUCAGAUGUGAAAUCCUGUAGCUUAACUACAGAAUUGCAUCAGAAACUGUUUAACUUGAGUGCGGAAGAGGAG
rnacentral:rRNA from 1 species